UUGGACUAGACUAAGCUCGGGAGAAUAUACCAUUGGGAGUAAUCAUGCUUUGACAGAGAAAGACUGAGAGAUCUUUUUCAAUUCUAAUUGCCGUGAUCCUGUGUAAUUCAAUUUGAAAUGGCCUUGCUAUUCUAAUUCACAAAGAUCCUAUUUUUACUAACUCUUUCUUUUUUAUAAUCCUGCUUCUGGUAUCACUACUCUUUUUUAAAAGGGAAAAGAAACCCUCAAACUUGGUUUCCAGGUAUUCGUUGAAUUACACUCCUUAUUUCCGUGUUGUGUUUUUUUCCCCUCCAGACGCGCUGUUCUGCAGACUCAGGCACUGCACUCAGGGCUGGGCAGACAGUGAUUAUCAUCACCCCCUGCUUUCAUCCAUUAGAGCUGGGCGUUAGCAGAAUAUUGCAGCAACCUGUAAAACUCCUACUUAUCCACAGACUUUCUGAGAAGGGAUGCUGUGAGACAAACUCCAGGAAGCACCCGGAAAGUAAAGAAAGAAUGAGCAAAAGUAGAAAAUUCAUGAUGGAAGUUGAAGGUCACAAGAUGGAAGGUAGAGAUGUGACACUCUAUUUAGUAGACAGGUUUUUUUUUUGUUUUGUUUUGUAUUUUUCACUUUCAGGUUGUACAGAAAAGAGACAGCUAGAUCAGAAAUAGAAAAGGAGCAUUUCCUUAGGUCUCCAGGGAGAGAAAAGCUAGCAAAUAGUUAUUUCUAAAGAUUCUGAGAAACCUGUUAUAAAAAGGGGUGAGGAGGAGCGAAGGCUUCUUUAAAUAGUUUGGUGAUAGAACCUAGGUUUCUUGGGACUUUGGAAUGAAUUCUAAAUGUUCUAGAAAGAUAAAUAGCAGGCUUAGAUUAAAUAUCUUUUUGUUAGUCGUCUGUUAGAAAGUUUUGUGUCUAAUUGUUAUUUCUUUCAUCUUUGUUCUUGAAUUUGUUUCUUUGAUUAUUUCUUCUGGGAAUCAGUUCUAAUUUAACUACUGUAUUAAACAAGAGUUGCUUAGGCUAUGGACUGUGGGGUUUGAUUCACAGCUUGCUUCAUUUUUUUGUCUGGACACUUGACCCAACAGAACUCUACUUCAACCUGGGGACAGCUAAUGCAAAAAUGAAGUCUAAACCGGUCCAAAAAAGAUUAACCCAUACUUGAAAACAAGCUUUGCUCCUGCAUCCCCAUCUUGGAGAUGGCAUUCUCUUUCAUGCCUUGUGAAAACUACUUUUAAAGCAUCACUUCAUUUUAAUGGAGAGGAUCAUAAAGUUCAGUUCUCUAAAGUAUCAACAUUCUUGCCUUGAUGGUUAGUUGAAACAUUUCAGACAAAUAAAUACAGAAUUUACUUUUUUGCCUGAAAUAUU
rnacentral:lncRNA from 1 species